GACAACGAGGUAUGGGAGAGAGAGAGAGAGAGAGAGAGAAGUUUGAAGGAUCAGAAAGAUGACGCGAGGGGGAGUCGAACGACGACGUACAAAAAGCUAGUUUGUUGUCCGCUCGCCUUUUGGACGCGUCGCGUUAUUUAGUGGCGAGCCUCGUCUCAACUCGCUUAAGUGCUCCGGUGACUUACAUCCCUUUGGGGCAAGGGCGCGCUAAGGGGGCGUGACCGUGUACCGUCCCGUCAGGGAUCGGACGUAUAAUGGAAAGUUUGUCGAAAGCGGGAAAGGGCGGCUUGGUUCGCGUCCGUCGGCCAAAAUAACGAGUAGAUUUCUUCGGGUACAUAGAAGUAGAGAAACUUCUUAAAUAAAUUCGCUUGUCUUGUAUCUUAAAUAGAACUUGUCGUUUUCAAAAGUAUGGCAAUUCUUUGGAAUAUUUGAUCAUUUAAUUGUAAAGGUCGUAGAAGCAGGCGCGAAAGAGGUGCUUUAUGGAACAGUUUGUACCGAUAUCGAAUGCCUGCUCGAAUCUCGAGGGUCCUUGGUCGGAAAACAGCACGGUACCAAGUUCAGGCCGGUACUUACGAUCAACUGGCGCAGCGAAGCAUCGCUGGCGAUACAUCAUCCGGAGAGCGCUUAUCUCUCCCGGAUCUGCUAUCUCGUUGGACCCCCGUCCUAUCGAACAAUGCCUCGCACGAGAUAUACCUUGCUCGCAAGAGAUCGUGGCCAGGCUGCUGUGCAUCGCGACACGCUUUAUGCCAUUAAAAUUUUUCCACGACGCACACGCGAUCCUUAAAGCCCAAGAGUAGCGAAAUAAAACGAGUAUCGACAGGAAUAAAAAA